GCUGCCCUCUGGCUCUGAAGCCAGCCCAGGGACCCAGGACAGAGUCUACAACUGCCCUGGUUCUUGCAGAGACUUCCUGUCUGCAAGUGCACUUAUUUGAAGACAAAGACAAGUCUUGGUGCUUUAGCUAUCAUGUUUUAAGAAUAUUCCUUUUAUAAUGUGGAGGGGAAAUCAUCCUGUAGCCAUGCAGAGACCAAAGCCUCACACACCUGGGUCACCUAGACCUCUGAAGGGAGCUGGGGGUGGAAUCAGGUCACGGACUGACAUUUUCAAAGAUCAGAGCUCGUUGGAAUAGAGUUUUUCAAAACCUGCUUGGAUUUUCCAUCGUUCCAUCCUGCCGCCUCCAGCAAAUUUAUCGUGUGCAGAAAAGAAUGAGGCCCCAAAGGACCCGAGUCUGUUAGAAAGCUGAAGAGAGAAAAUUAGAGUUCUCAGAUCCUCAAAGGACUUGUAUUUGAGGUGAAUCAAAGGUAUUUGAGGUGAAUACUGUGGACAAAGCAUGUGAGUUGCUAGAGAUUUGGGUGAGGAUUCACUCACUUAGAGACAUGUCUCCCAGAAGCAGGGUUCCACCAUUUCCCCCAAAUCCUGUCAGCUUCCCCUUCAAGAAGUUUUCCAGUUUAACUCAACAAACAUUUCCUGAACAAAGUGCCUCGCCCAACUCCCUGAGGAUUCAACGUUAAACCCCCAUGUUCUCAGGGACCUUGACAAUGGAGUGGGGUUGAGAGGCCAGGCCUUCGACAGUUAGGUCAAGUGGACCUUUAAAUUAUACUUAAUAAUAAAAUAAUAAAUAAUAAAAUAAAUUUAAAGCAGAACUUUAAAUUAAAGCUGAAUCCAUUUGUCCAAAUAUA